CAUGUACGAAAGCGUGGGUAGCGAACAGGAUUAGAUACCCUGGUAGUCCACGCCCUAAACGAUGUCAACUGGUUGUUGGGGGAGUGAAAUCCCUUAGUUACGAAGCUAACGCGUGAAGUUGACCGCCUGGGGAGUACGGUCGCAAGAUUAAAACUCAAAGGAAUUGACGGGGACCCGCACAAGCGGUGGAUGAUGUGGAUUAAUUCGAUGCAACGCGAAAAACCUUACCUACCCUUGACAUGUCCGGAAUCCUGCAGAGAUGCGGGAGUGCUCGAAAGAGAACCGGAACACAGGUGCUGCAUGGCUGUUGUCAGCUCGUGUCGUGAGAUGUUGGGUUAAGUCCCGCAACGAGCGCAACCCUUAUCAUUAGUUGCUACGCAAGGGCACUCUAAUGAGACUGCCGGUGACAAACCGGAGGAAGGUGGGGAUGACGUCAAGUCCUCAUGGCCCUUAUGGGUAGGGCUUCACACGUCAUACAAUGGUCGGUACAGAGGGUUGCCAAGCCGCGAGGUGGAGCCAAUCCCAGAAAGCCGAUCGUAGUCCGGAUUGUUCUCUGCAACUCGAGAGCAUGAAGUCGGAAUCGCUAGUAAUCGCGGAUCGGCAUGUCGCGGUGAAUACGUUCCCGGGUCUUGUACACACCGCCCGUCACACCCUGGGAGUGGAAUCUGGCAGAAGUAGGUAGCCUAACCGCAAGGAGGGCGCUUACCACGCUGGGUUUCAUGACUGGGGUGAAGUCGUAACAAGGUAACCAAGGG
rnacentral:rRNA from 1 species